CCUUAGACCCAGCUACUUGGGAGGCUGAGACAGGACAUCGCUUGAGACCAGGAGUUCUGGGCUGUAGUGCGCUAUGCAGAUCUGGUGUCCACAUUAAGUUUGGCAUUAACAUGGUGACCUCUUGGGAGCAGGGGACCACCAGGUUGCCUAAGGAGGGGUGAAGCAGCCCAGGUCGGAAACGGAGCAGGUGAAAACUCCCUUGCUGAUCAUUAAAUAUUUCUUGAUCGUUUUAUUUGAAGCAAGGGAUUUCUCACAUCUCCCUAUAGAAAAUGGAAAUCCUUUCUAU
rnacentral:sRNA from 14 species